rnacentral:lncRNA from 1 species
AUUGCAACCGUUCGAGAAUUUACAACUUGAUGUGGGGAAUGUGCGAUAUCAUAUGAUAGUCUUCUCCUCUGUAACGUUCUUCUAGAAUAGGACAUCCCCUAAUACUCAAUUCCUGCAGUGUCGUCGUUUGAAGAAGGUGAUCUGGCAGCACAUUUAAUUUGGAGCAGCAAUCAAUUUCCAAGGAAGAAAGACGCGGCAUGAUGGAGAUGUUUUCCUUCCUCGUAACCCUGUAAUUCCACUCUUCCAAUUCAUCCAAGUCCUCAAUUUUGAGUGAUUUCAAUUUGGGGAAGGCAAUAACUGAUGAAGAUGAAGAUGUGUCAUCAACACUACUCUCUUCUAUUCCCAAAAACUCAUCACCCACUCUUUUUACACUAAUCAAAUUGUAUAGGGUGAGUUUUUCCAGAAGCGAUUUUCCCAGUGGAGGCAAAUGCUCACAGUUAACGCACGAGAAGAGUUUUAGUUCCCUUAGAUUGGUUAGCAAAGUCAACCAUUUGGGAAAAAUGUUGCCUCCGUAGAAUAAAAUCCAUAAUUCCUCUACAUUCAAAGGCGGUUGUAAGGCUUCAAGAAGUUGUUUAUCUUUCUCAUUCUUCCUCCUCCCUUCUUCGCCUUCCCCAUCUACGACUCUACCAAACUCAAGAUGCAAACGAAGGAGGUUUUUCUUAUUGUAAAGUUGUAACCUCUCAGCCUCAUCUACAUGCGAUACAUUACUCAGCCCUUCUACUCUACAUUCAUGAAGGAGUUGAAGAUUUUUCAGAGAUUCAAGCCUACACGUGCUGCCACCAUCAACACCUCCACCCACAACAAACUUUUCUAAUGUUCGAAGGCUGGUCAAUCUGGAAAUCCCUAUUGGCAGGUACUUCAGCUUUUCAGUUUGACCAUUCAUUAAACUCCUCAUGUUCAUUAACUUUCCAAUCCCCGCAGGCAAUUCUCUAAGAUUUGUACACCAUCUAACAGCUAGCUUUUGUAAAUUAUAUAAUUCACACAAAGUCUCAGGCAGUCUCUCUAUACAUAAUUCAGAUAAAUUAAGAUAUUUUAAAUGUAUCAAUUUUCCAAUAUUUUCUGGAAUUUCUCUAAUGAAAUUUUGGUCAUCUAAGGGUACGAACCAUUGCCUUAUAACUAGUGCCCUUAAACAUGCCACUUUACUAAAUAACUCCACAAGGAUGCUGCCAUUAAGAGACGGACUGUAAGGACUUAAAUCAUAAAUUAAGAGGGUACGCAAUCUAUUAAAUUCAGGAGUGGACAUAGGAAAUGAAGCUCCUCCUUCAAAGUUUAACCCUAAGUGACGGACUUUCUCACCAAAAGAGUUUAUGACUGAUUCUUUCCUACUGUUAAUUUCUACCCACAAACAUUCUUCUCUACUUACAAGUUGGGCAAAAUCAUGUACUAUGUCAUGCAUCUUGCAACUCAUAACAUUAUCAUCAUAAUCUUUCACAAACUCUUGAAAGAAAGAGCGUGUUGCUAAGAUGUUGAAAUACUCUUCUCCAAUAAUCUCCAUCUCUUCAUCUUCUUCUGAAUUAAGGUAACAUUGAGCCAUCCAUAGUGUAAUUAGUUCCUCUUUCCUUAUAUUGUAGUCUUUUGGAAAGACAGAACAAUAUGAGAAACAUCGUUUUACCAUAGAACUGGAGGGCAAAUCGUGAUAGCUCAAUAACAAAGGAGGCAAAAGACCUUUCCCAAUCUCUUCCACCUUCCACAUUUCACUAUCUAAAAUUCUUUGCCACUCGUUUACUGUUCUUUUAGAGCGCAACAGAUUCCCAAUUACCUUUGCAGCAAGAGGCAAGCCUUUGCACUUACAUGCAAUUUUUCGUCCGAUUGGUUCUAAUUUUUCACAAUCCUCAAAGGACCUACCUAGAAAUGCUACCUGCUUAAACAAUGACCAACAUUCCCCUUCACCCAACUCCUUGACAGAGAUAAUAUCUAUUGAUCCCAUCUGGAGUGCAACUGACCUAUCACGUGUGGUAAUUAGAAUUUUACUUUCAUGGUGGCCAUUCUUUAGACAAGAAAAGAAUGGGUCCCAUUUUUUGAAAUCUCCAUCCCACACAUCAUCCAAAACAAGAAAAAAUUUCUUCCCCCUAAUAGAUUCCUGAAUCUGUUGCAUAAGAGAUUGGAAUUCGCCUAAACUAGAAGCAGAUUUGUCUAAAACCUCAAGAAUUGCUUUAGCAAUCCUAAUCUCCUCAAAAGCGUCUGAUACACACACCCAUAUAACUAUGUCAAACUUUCUUUUCACCCCCUCAUUGUUGAAGGCUAGUUGCGCAAGGGUUGUUUUACCUAUACCCCCUAACCCAAACAGUGAGAUGAUACGAAGCCCUUUUUGUUGUUCGCUACUCUCACCCAACAACUUGCUUAACAGCUCAUUUUUCUCGUCAAUUCUACCACAAAUCUCCCCCUCAUCAACCAAGGAGGUGGUUCGCACUCGCUCUGGCUUCUUGACAUUGUUACUCACAUUCUCAGCAAAUUUAAACCUAUCUUUUUGAGAGGUAAUAUCAUCCAGCGUUUUAUUGAUUUCUCUAAUCUUGACAGCAAUGUCAUGACGAAGACUGAGUUGUUUGAAACUACCGAAGCAGUUUGAGGUAGAAGGAAAGAAGGAACAUACCUUCUUCUUAUGAGCAGCAAGAGCAAGAGUAUUGUCAUCGUCAAGGCCCUCAAUCUGCAAUUUGAGCCUUGCAGUGGUCCACUCCUCCAACACAUCUUCCAUGUCGUAAGAUGCGUCUUUGCCGUGCUGCAUUUGCCUUUUCUCUGCAUCUUCCAGCACAAGUUGAAUGGCUUGAAGAUUGCUGGUAAGCUUUUUCACUUCUUCUCGGACACCAGUCACAAGCCUCACCUGUUGUUUCACUUCAUCAGCCGCAACAGAGAUCAGCUGCUCCAGGAGAGAGGAAACGAUCGCAUCAACCAUUCUGACAAAGAAGACGAGAAUUCUGAAGAGUUAUUAGAUGUGCUUUUGUUGCGAUGAUACUGAAAGAAAAGGAGUUAUUGCAUUCUUUUAUACUGCAUAGAAAAAGUUUAUGCUUAUCCCCACCCCACACGUCAAUGAUUGUAGAAUGUUUAAUUUCCCUGAUUCUACUCCACUAGUUGUGAUGCGUAAUUAUAAAUAUUCACAAAUUAUAUAUGAAAUAGCACAAAUUUGGAUCUAGUAAUGAUUUAUAUGAUUUCUGUGUGUUCACUUUUCCGUAAUCUUCUACUAUAAGGGUUCAGAUUUAAUUACUAAUUUAAAAAAUAAGCACAAAAUAAUAUCAAGCAUUAAUGUUAUUAGUAAUACUCAAAUUCACAAAGGAAUAAAUAACGAAAAGAAAAAAGAUUGGAAAAAUCAUAUUGGUAAAUUAGCACAUUGUUUUUUUAAUAAUCUCAAUAAAAUUAGUAAUACUCAUAUUAGUCCCUGAAACAUUAUUAUGUAUAACUUAAAAAAUCUUAUCAGUCUCCAUGAUCAAUAUUUAUUGAAAUAUUUUUGGCUUAGGCUGAGAAAAAAAUUCCCAGUUUCAUCACUAGUUAAUCUCAAGUAUACAUCCCAUAUAUAUAUACACACACGCGCGCACACACAUUCCUUCUCGAGUGCGGGCGCCGUCAUUUUUUUUUUAUAGGAACACACUUUUAAGCCACAUGGCUUAAUAGAGUUAAUUUUUUAAUGAUAUUAAACCACGCAACUUUAUAGUAUAUUGAAAAUUAACUCUAUUAAGUCGUAUGAUUUAACAGCGUGUCUGCAUUAAAAAAAAAGAAAAAAGAAAGAGGUUACAUAUAUAUGCAGGAAAGGUCUAAGAAAAUUUUAAAACCUCACGAUUUUAAAGUUUUCCCAAACUUUUCUGUACUUUAAAAUUUUGGAUUAACAAAUUUAUAUAUAUAUAUAUAAAGAGUAAUGAUAUAGUCAUAAACUCUUGUACAAACUGAUGUAGUGUUAAUUUAUUGGUUGAAUUAAAUAUUUCUUGGCCCACAUGAUUUAUUUAUAUUAUUUUAUAUUUUCAUUCAACCAAUGAAUUAAUGCCACAUCAGUUUGUAUAAUAUCAGUUUGUACAGUAGUUUAUGACUGUAUCAUCACUCAUAUAUAAAUUCUCUCCCGCAUACAUCCACGCAAAAUAGAGUCCGAAUUUGACAUGUCACAGUCUAAGAAAAUAACUUUCACCGCUGUAAAACUAUCGACGAUGGCCUAAAACACUAUGCUUACAUGUUGUUUCAUGUGGAAAUCUAUGGAGAGAUAACGACUAUAUAUAUAUAUAUAUAUAUAUAUAUAUAUAUAUAAACAUAUCUUAAUUUCUAAUAAGAUAUUAGCCAAUAUUUAAUCAACAUUUAUGCAAAGGGGUCCCCCCUCUUUAUUUGGAGGAAUUUGGCACCAGAUGAAAAAUUUAUGCUUAUCCCCAACCCAUACGUUAGUAAUUGUAGUAGCAUCUUUUAAUUUCCCUGAUUCUACUCCACUAGCUGUCGUACAUAAUUAUAAAUAUUCUCAAAUUUGUCGCAUCUUUAAAGUAUGAACACUGGUUUUGUCCAUGUCACUUUUUCUAUCUUAUUGUAAUAUGAGGUAGACGAAUUCAGUUUCUCAAGAUAUGGGAAACGAUCGCAUCGGCCAUUCUAAUAUUAGAUUAAAUGCUAAAUGUUACAAUUGUUUUUGUUGCGAAAAUGCUCAAAAGAAAGUAGCUUUUAUGAAUUCUGUGAGAAUGCUCAUUCAAGCAUUUUUUUAAUUCUUCUUAUACUACGUGAAACAUUUAAUUUUUACCCUUGAGUCAAUGUCAAUGAGAAUGCUUUUGUGCUGGAAAUCAAAGGAGUCCCCAAAGGAGUCAUCGUCUGGGGCUAGCUUUCUGCACCACCACGUCAAUAAUUGUCUAGAUCUCCCCUGUUUCUCUGAUUCAUAAUAAUUGUGCAGACUACUUUUCAUCAGCAUUCGUAAAAUUUCUUACUUUUCUAAUUAGUAACAAAAUAUUUGUAAGCUACAACAUAAAACUUAUAGCAAUCUAUCGAUGAAUCUUCUGAAUUCAUAUUUAAUAAAUUCGAUAUAAUAUAGUCAUUAGUUUUUUAUUAUAAACAUCAGUAUAUUUUUUAUGAUAUAACAUAUAUUGAUGAAACUAUAUAAAGCAAUUUCGCCCUAUUAUACAAAUUCAUUAUGAAUUUCAUCACAAAUUUGUAUGCGAUCGGGACCGUGCAAGUGAGAUUUCAGAUAAAAUCAUCUCCUGACAAUUUAUUUAAUAUUAUACUUUUCAAUUUAGCUUUAACGUAUGGCCGACAACUUUUGUUAUCCGGUAGGCCAAAUCAGUAUCAUAAAGUAGUGAAUCUGUUUUAGUCUACAGUCAAUACAUAACUUCAUUAUGUUUGCAUGUCAUGAUAAAAUGAGAAUUGUUAAAUAUAAUUAAUAUUAGUAAUAAAAUUACUAUAAUAAUAAUUACUAUUAUUAAUAUAAUGAUUAUAAAUAAUAUCAAUAAUAAAAAUUUUAUUAUUAUCAAUAGUACUAUUAUUAUUAUAAUAAUAAAAUAAAAAGUACUAAUUAUUUUGAUAAUAGUAAUAGUAAUUAAUAAUAAUAAUAGCAAUAAUAAAAAUUAUCAUCAUCAUCAUCAAUAAAUUUUUCAUAAUAAUAAUAAUAUAUAAAGAAGGAAAAAAUAAGAAUUUUAAAAUUUGAGUGGGAGUAAUAUUGUUACCUCAGGGAAUGGGAUUCCCAUUUGCACCUCCUCUCAUAGGAAUGUGAACUCUAGUAAUCACUCCUUAUUUUAGUUUGGGCCCAUCACGUUGAUUCAAAUUCCUUCUCUCAUUCAAGCAAGUAAACAGAUCAUUAAUUUAAUUCCGAUUACCAAUAAAUAAACACAUUUAUUAUAGUGGUGAGGCCUUUUUUUCCUAUAUAAAGACAAAUGCAAAUUCAUCGGAGUCAUUUUCAAAGAAGAGUUUCUAUAAUUAAUUUUUUUUUAAACUAAGAAAAGAUAGCAUAUUGUAACGGACCACUCAAAUUUACCACUAAAGGAGGCCAAACUAGCCUGCCAAGGUGAGCUCAAUAAAAGACUGCCCAAACACGAAGUAUGCUAAGUAGCAAGGUGCGCUCAAUCCAAAACCCAAGGUAACCAAGUCCAAUCCAAUUUUAGAAAUCUCUACAAUACAAUAGCAACUGUAAAUAUCUAAAUAAUUCUACAGUUGCGUACUCUAGAACUUACUAGAUAACUAGGCAAGUUACGCAAGUUGCAUAGAACUCUCUAGAUCUAGGCAAGCCUCCCUAUAAAUAGGGCAUGGCAUCCACCAUUUUGCACGACACCACACACCAAGCAUAAGUAGAUCAAGCAUACUUGUAAUGCUCUUUGUAUUCUCUCUUUCAAGUAAUAAAAUUCGUUUUGGCUACAUUACUCUCUUCUCUCCAGCUUUUUUGCAAUCAUCUUUUCUUAGCUAGUUUGAGAAGUUCGAUAGGUUUAAUUAGCAACUUUUGUGCUAGAAGUUAUUUAAGUGUCACAUGGAUUGCUAUGCAAAUUAUUUAUGCCGUGACAAUAUGUUAUGAUUAUUAUGAAUUUUCCACCACUUUAUAUAAAAUCCUCUAAUUUAUUUAAAUUGUGAGUCAUAGAAGUAUAUUACCCAAAUUGUUCUAUUAUCAUAUUAAUAUAAUAUUUUUGUGUUGACACUUGUAAACAAUUGAAAAGUUUUGUUUUACUAUAAAUUGGUAGCAUCUCUGCAUUUAAUAUCAUCUUAUUUUUCCUCAAACAAUAUUACUAGCAAGAGAAAGGAAUUAGAAUUCUCCAUCUCAAAGUUUUAAGUUGUUGGUUAUCAACACUUUCUUCAUGUUCUUUGUAUAGUUUAGAUACUUUCUAAUUAGAUUUGCAACAUGUUAUCAAGACAACUUUACUUUGAUUCAAGAAAGUACUUAAUUUUCUAUGCUCUCAUUUCAUAUGUUUAUUUAACAACUCUAUACUUAUACGUAUUUUUUGUAGUCAAUAUUGAUUUAGAGUUACAUCAAAUAAAAAAAAAAAAAAGGUAAGUGAUCUUCUAUUCUUUUAUGUAGGGACAUCAAUGGUGUGAGGUGGGGGUGGAGAGGCCUACCUCAUUACCCACCCCAUUAAAAUUUUUACCUCUAUUCCUCAUCCCAUUUCCCAAUAAAAUUCAGUGGAGUGGGGAUGAAGAAUUCUCAUGUGAAGAAUGAUUUCUCUAUCCCUACCCUAUUCUCUAUUUACUUAUUUUAUAAUAGGUAUAGAUAAAUGAUUUCAGUAAAUUAAAAAUUAGAAACUUAAAUAAAUUCAUUAUCAUAUUACAAAUUAUUUAAAUUGUUUUAAAAAAUCUCCAAAAGGUUGAAAUAAUAUCUUGAACUAAUAGUAAAAUUAAAAAAAAUGUUUGAAGAGAAUAGUAUCUUAAGAGGAAAAAGAAAACAUAAGAAUGCUUUAGGGUUAAAUAAGUAUUAUAAUGUAGGUUUUUCUUUUAGUUAUAACUUAUUUAUAUUAGUUAAAUAAAAAGAAAAUUUAUUAACCAACAUUUUAAUUGAUAAAAUAAAAUUAUUGAAUAAAAACUAAAAAAAUAUUCAUUUAUAAUAGGAAUUGGGGUGGGGAUGGGGUAGGAAGUACAAAACCAACCCCACCCCAUUAAGAAUUUGAGAAUUAUUUUUUCCUCAUUCUCUACCCAUUCUUCAAAAAUUAUUUAAAAUUCACCUCAUUUAAGGUGGAGUCUAUCCUAUCAGUACUUUCAUGGCACGAAAUUAUUAUGCUCAGUGAUGAUUAUUGAUUUGUCUAAUUUUAGAUGAGUUAUUAUUUUGGAGAUCAGUGCUUUUGCUGCUAUGCUGAAAGAAAAGGAGCUAGAUUAUUCUUCUUUAUACUGCAUGAUAAAAUAUUUACUAAUAGUCGAUAUUCUAUCAACAAUUAUGCAAAGGAGUCCCUACUGAAAAGCUGAAUUUAGAAUUCAAUGAAAGUUUUAAUCAUUGUAGCAUCUUUAAUUUUCCUGUUUCGACUUCAAACUUUGUGUUACAUAUUUGUUAACUAUAAUAUUCUCAAAUAAAUUUGCAGUGGUCGGGCCCGUGCCAGUCAAAAACAGAAAAAAUAAAACAAAAGUUGAAAAAUCAUGCAGCCGACCACUACAAAUUAAUUUAAAAAAAAGUAGUGGAAUAUUAGGUAGGCGAAUGCGGUUCAUCGUUCAUAGGUCAUUUAAGAAAGUAAUCGCUCCCUAAUUAAUUCUUUUCUUUUAUCUAAUCAAGAAAAGGUAGCAUAUUGUUUUUUUUUUUUUGAUUUGCAAUUCUUUAAAACAAAAAAAAAACAUGAAUGAUUGAUCGAUAAUAUUCAUUUUCUAAGUUAUUUUAAUUAUUAAAAAAAUAUUACAUAUUUUAUUUAUAAUAUUAUAUUCAUAUUUAUUAUAGAACUUUAUUUUAGGUAAAUUUUAGUUGUUGUGUUUGAAUGAAUAGAUACUUAUUUAAUUCUUAUAUUUUAAGUUAUAUUCACGUUUAAUCUUUAUAUUUAAAAAAAAAAAUGAUAGGACUCCCCUAAUGUUAAUAUCUUACACUCUCCUGUUCUUACCUUUUAUUUCCUUUUUGUUUCCUAGCUUUUUACUCCACCACAUCAAUAAUUGUAUAGCUUCUCUGAUUCAUAAUAAUUAUGCAGACUACUCAGCAUCACCACUUGUAAAAUCUCUUAUAUUUGUAUUUCGCAAGUUGCAGCGCUUAAGAUAAGUAAUAAAAUAUUUGUAAACGACAACAAAAAGCUUUGAGCAAUCUAUCUAUGAACAUUCUGUAGUUAAAUAUAGUAGAUUAAUUUGAUCUAGAGUGGUCUCAGUAGGUAGAUUUUCUGAUUAUAAAUAUUAAUAGACAUUUAAUUGUUUGAGAAGUCGGAGUUAAAUCAAUUCCAUAAUCAUUUUAAUUAAUUAAGAUGAAUAUCAUACUAUGGAUUUGCCUCGUAUUACGAAGAAAAUGUACGAAAGAUAGUUAAGGAACAGCUUUUUUGAAAUUUUUUUCCAGGAGCUGAUAUUAUAUUAAAAAAUUGGGUGAAAAUAUAAGCUGAUAAUAUAUUAAAAAAUUGGGUGAAAUACAAGUAAAGGUAUUGCAGACUGAUCCGUUUAAGCUUGUGAGAGGACUCGUCGGUCGUCAAUUAUUUUCUCUCGUUCUUGGGAUACAUACAAGAAAAAAGUUCGAGGUGAGUUAUUAACAGUAAACCCAAACUGCCCUAUUUUAUUAAUAGCAAAUAGAAUAUUAGUACUCUUAAGGUGAGUAUUGACACGCUGUAUUUAUAUUAUGGUUUAUUUCAUCAGAAUGUACUACUUUGAGUUGUGAUACAAUACUAAAUUUGAUGUAUAUAAUAAAAUAAUAUUAUUUUUUGUUAAAAUUAAAUUAUUUUUAUUUAAAUAUAUUAAUAUUUAUUAUUAUUAAUUUUUAAAGAAGAAUUAAAUAUUCUUGUAUUUAAUUUUAUAAAUAUAAAAAAUUUAAUAGUAUAUUAUUACUAAUUAAUAAGAUAUUACAAUACUAUGUUAUUUUAUUAAUUCUAUUAUAUUACAAUAUAAUUUUAUUUAUAUGUAUUACUUUUUAUAAUAUAGUAUAAUCAUAUUAUAAUAUGGUAUAAUAUGAUUAUUAUGUAAUGAAAGUAAAAUAACGUACUACCAUUUAUUUAUUUAGGUUCAUUACUAUCUUAUAUUAUUAUUACUUAAAUUAAAUUUUAUUUAAAUACAAAUAUAAAUUAAUAUUUAAUAAAUAUAAAUUUAAUAUAAUUAUAAAAUAAUAAAGAUUAAAUGAUUAUACUUAAAAUAUGAACAAUGUUUUAAUACAAUACAGCCUAAAUUCUAUCUCCGCUUAGUUUUAUUUUUAUACCUUUCAUUGUAUUACCUAUCUUUUUAAUAUUGUGCAAUGCAACUAGAAAUUUCAGCCGAAGGAGGGUUAGCAUAAGAACCAUCUUUUUAAUAUUAUGAUGUAUUGCAUUAUUUAAUAAGGGUCAUUGUAUUGUCACUAUAUUAUACUAAUAUUGUAUGAUGUUUUGUGUUCCACUGUAUUGUAUUAUCUAAAAUAAUAUUUUAUAUAAUUAUUUAUGUGAAAUUAAUAUUAUGUAUAUUUAUUAAUGCUUUAUAUCAUUAUUAUAUCACAUUUAUUAAUUUAAUUUACAAACAAAAAAAUAAAUCACUGACAGCCACAUCAACCAUCGCUAAUCACCACGAAUCAGCGCCGACACCACAUUUUGGUUUUAUUUGAUGUUAUUUUUGGUAUCGUAAAAAUCCUCAUCGGUGGAGGACUGCAACGUACAUGUUUCACUGGAAAUAGAGCUUCCGGUCACUAGAGAUCUAUAGACAAAGUUUUGAUGUUCAAAAUUUUGACCAUAGAUUUAUGGCGAAAGGAACCUCGGUUCUGAUCAAACAUAUAUUGUUGUAAUGCUCAAACAACGAGAUCCAACAAUACUAAAAUAAACUCAAAUAGACAUAUAAAUCUAGCUGCCGAUUUUUGCGAGAGUGAUUUCAAGCAGUUGCCAUUGCCGAUUAAUAUUAAAUAGUAAUUAUUAUUGAUAAUAUAAUUUUAUUAUAUUAUUUUGUAUUUAUAAUAACUAAUAACUAAAUGUAAAUUCAUAUUAUAUAUUUUUAAUUAUUUUUUAAUUUUAUUAUAAUAUUAUAAUAUUAUAAUAUUUUCUUUUCUUUUUUAGUUAGUGUGCAGUUCUAAUAUGCUUCGGUGCUUGCUGCUUUAAAUUCGAAAAUAUAAACUUAUUAUUAUUUUAUUUUUUAUUAUAUUAAAUAAUUAUUUUAUAUAAAUAUGAUGUGGUAUUAUUAAAUAACAUAAUAAAAUUGAAAAUAACUAAAAAUACAUAAUACGAAUUUACACUUAUUUAUUAAUUAUUAUGAUAUAAAAAUAAAAUAAAAGGUAGAAUAUAAUAUAAAUAGUAUUGUAAUAUAAUAUAAUUUUAUUAAAUUAUUAGUUCGAUUUUAUAUUAAUUAUCAAUAGCUUUUGCUCAUUUAUAUAGCAAAAGCUAAUGCGUCAACUUGCGCAGUGCACUAACUCCAGCUCCCCCGGGUUUGUGUAAUGCACCAAAAUUUAUAAUGCGGGCAUUAUAGACAGCUCCACAACGCAACUUCGAAAUUUGCCAAACAUGGGUCGGUAACAAGUUUUGAAGCCCCAAAAAUUCAAUAAACAGUACCUCAGUGCUUGAAGCUCUAAGUUACCAAAAAUGAAAUCAAUUUUUAAGUCAUUGUUGUUGCAAAACAAAAGUGUAAAGGGAAAGUUGACGAGUGUUUCUUAAACACUACUAAUUGUCAAGUUAAAACUGUUUGGUAUGCUAUUUAGAACUUAUGCUUUAGUAAAUAGUUGUGGGCAAUAAUCGGUUACCUUGCCAAAACCAAAUUGCAAUUAUUUACUAAAACACUUAUCUUUGGCAGCAGAGUGACCAAAAAGCUCAUACAAACAGAGCCUCAAUCCAGCUGGGUUAAGGGUUCCAAUGAAAAGUAAAUUUUCUCUAACAGACACACUUUUCCGAAAACUAAGAUUUAUUCUGAAGAAAUCUCAAAAGAUUUAUUCUAGAUAAUGUAAAGCCGUAAAUGUGACACAGGCGUGUUUUAGAUUUACUCCAAGAGACAAGUACAAUCCAAGAUUAUCACUCCAAUUGUUUCAAUUGAUUGUAUUUUUCUAGACAUAAUUAAAUUACGUAUAAAAUAUAUAUUGUUAGAAAGGUGAAUAUAUAUGUCUAGUUUUUGAAGAAUUUUAUGGAAUUAAAUUCAAACUUCUGUUCUUAAAGAAAUUCAUGACUUUGUCAAUGAAGGUUACAACUGUUAGGAAUUCUACACAUAGCAAAAAAGUUUUGAAUUUAAUGGCAUUAAUGCAUCAAGAUCUAAUUAAGAAGCUUCAAAUCAGUGAAAAGCUUUUGAGUCAAGAGUUCAAUGAAUUUUACAUGUUUGAUUUGGAGUUUUCUACAUUAAGAUAUGAUUAAACGAGUGUUGACUGCUUACACUUGCGGUUGAAACCGACCUUGAUGUCAAAUUGUAUUUUGCUUUGUUUUCUUUCACCUCAUGAUAGCUAAGACCUGUUAUUCAAAUUUGAUUUGAAUUCUAAAUGAUAGAGAUCUUAUCCUAAGUUCGGAGGGAUGUUCCAAGUUGUCUAUACAAAAAAGUAUUACAUUGUAACUUUACAAAACAGGGUGAUUAUGAGAAUGUAACUUAGAAGAGUGCUCUUGUUAGGGUUUCUUCAUGCAACUCUAUAUCUCUUGGUUCGAUUCCUUAGAGUGGUGAGUUGAGAAGUGCGGUAUCUCUUGUAGGAUAUCAUUAGAUGGUGAAUAUCUAUAUCCUUUUGUAAUCCUCUUAAAUGGUGAGUUUUGGUAAGUUAGAGAGCCUUGUAUCUCUUGUAAAACAUCAUUGGGUGGUGAAUAUCCCAUUGUAAUGAGCUUUGCUCUGGCCUUAUCUACGUGUGUGUUUUACUUAAUAAUGAAGUGAAAUACUAACUAGGCAACCCAAGAGGGGGGGUGAAUUGGGAUUUUAAAAUUUAAGCUAAGCAAACCACACAACAAUUUAAUCUAUUGCCUUAAUCAAAUUGAAAACAAUAAAUUCAAUCAUGCACAAUAUUAAAAGAGUAAGGGAAGAGAAAACAAACACAAUGAUUUUUACGUGGUUCGGCAAUCCCCGCCUACGUCCACGCCUCCAAGCUCACCGGGCUUGAGGAUUUCACUAAGCUAGCCUCCCAAGGCUUCAAACGCUUACAAUUGACUUCCAAGGUGUCAAUAGACCUUUACAACAAGAGAUUAUCCCCAAUCUCUUAACCCAAGUGUAUCCCAACACUUACAAUCUUUUAACUUGAUUUUACAAAAAAGAUUACAAAUGAAUCUCUCUCAGACAAUGUGUUUGAUCACAAGUGAAAGCUCAAUGUGUGAAUGAAUGAGAUGAAUACAAGAAUUUAAAGCUCAAUGAAAGUUGUAUUCUCGGUAUUUUGCUCAAUGAUGAUCGUUGGAAUCCUUCUUGUUUGAAUUGGAUUGAGCUUAUUUAUAGUUGGAGUUGAAAACUAGCCGUUAUUGACUUUCUGCACACUGUCGGAUCGCCGCUAACUAGAUGUCGGAUCGCCGUUUGACUGGUCAAUAUGACCGUUGGGUUGAUAUUUCAAAUUGUCGGAUCGCCGUUAUCUAGAUGUCGGAUCGCCGUUUAGGUCCAGAGGGUAAUCUUCAGUUCUGUUAGAUAUCGGCGAGCCGUUUAUCAAAAUUGUCGGAUCGCCGUUUAGGUCCAGAGACUAAUCUUCAAUUCUGUUAGAUGUCGGUGAGCCGUUAUCAAUAUGUCAGAUCGCCGUUUUCUAUAGUAAAUGCUACAGUGAAAUAUUUUUCAAAUUUACAGUUUGAUCCCAAAACUUUAUAAAACUGUGUUACGGCCCAAACAGUUAUAAAACUUUGCAAAUAGGUCCAAUUUCAGAAUUUCUAAGUAAUGCUUUGUUAAACCCAAAAAUUUCUAAAAUUAUGGUAUAGCCAAAAAUGCUAUGACACUUUUCAAAUAAGUCAUUCUCCAAAAUUUCAAGCAAUACUUGUUUAUUUCAAAGUAUUCAAAAUUCUUUCAAUUAAACCAUAAACUUUGAAAAACAACCAAUUUCAUAAAAUCAUUUUUCCAUUCAAUAUGAAACAUUUAUAAUGUGAAAAUAAUGAUUUAUUUAAAAAGAAUAAAAACAAUCAAUUUCAUAAAAUCAAUUUUCCAUUAAAUAUAAAACCUUUAAAAUGUGAAAAUAAUGAUUUAUUUAAAAUGUAUAAAAAAUAAUUUGAUCUUAAAAGAUUAAUCAUUCUUAAUCUUGUUUGUUAUCAUCAAAAUCAAUAUUAUGGAAACAUAUAUGUUAACAUGAAGUUCAGUUUAUAAUUAGGCCAACAUCAAAAUGGCAUUAGAUGUUUGUUGUAUUCUUCGCUUUCCUUUGAGACAGUCCAAAAUUUGCUAAAGUUUUCACAACAAAAGUAGGAUGUGAUGUCCUUUAUAUGUUUUUGUUAGAAAGGAAACAGACAAAAUGCAUUUAGCAUUGUCAAAGCAAGGAUAGAACAACGCAAAUUUUUUUGACAAAUAGAGCACCAUUUGAUUUGGAAGAAAAGCUGGAAUAAUAAACAAGCAGAGAUCAAAACUGAAAUCAACCCAAAAUCAAAGAAGAAAUGUGGAAAGGAUACCAAUACAUUGGACAUUUGAAGAUACAUAGUUUGAAUGUUAGACUGAGUAUAAGUAACCUCCUAACCGAACUAAUGUUAUGAAUUGGUCAAUUUUAUUCUCUGUAGGCCCAUGUUCGAACAUAGGGAAGCUAAAUGCCCUUUUAACAAUACCUUCUUUAAUUCUGCCUGGAAAUUGUGAUAGGACUUUGGGCUAAAUUAGGGCUGACUUUUAUUGAUUAGAUCAAAAGAAAGAACAAUCCUAACCUACCUCUCUCAAAACUCCUAAUUAUUCCUACCACUAGACAAAACUCAACAUAAAUCCUAAAUGACUCCUUAAUCUCUUAUUUAUACCCGAGCCAAAAUUAACAAUAAAUAAAAUUACUAAACUGGCCCUAGCCCUAAAAUUACUAAGUUUUUCCCACCCUUUAUAAAAUUACUAAACUGGCCCUAUCCCUAAACUGACUUUUAUUGAUUAGAUCAAAAGAAAGAACAAUUCUGACCUACCUCUCCCAAAACUCCUAAUUAUUCCUACCACUAGACAAACUCAACAUAAAUCCUAAAUGACUCCUUAAUCUCUUAUUUAUACUCGAGCUAAAAUUAACAAUAAAUAAAAUUACUAAACCAGCCCUAUCCCUAAAAUUACUAAGUUUUUCCCACCCUUUAUAUUUGCGGCUAACAUAAGUUUUAUUGGUCUAACAUUACUCCUCUCUUAAAAAUACACCUCGUCUUCAAGGUGAAAUCAAGGAAACUGCUGUUUUUUCUUCCUUGGCUUCUUCCCUACCUUCCUUCUCAUCACACGUAGUUAGGACUUGUAGUGAUUUAUCCUUACAUCGAUGACUCGAUGAAAAUUUCUCAUCGCAUUGAAAAAACAACCUCAUUGUCCUCUUAUCUUGAAUCUCUGUCUCUGUGAGCCAUUUGAAAGUCACCCCUAGUCGUGCUCGACUAACCCGAUCCCUUUAGGAAUCUCUUUAUAACCCCAUCAUUUGCAUUUUUUAGCCUUCUAAUGGUGUGCUUUGGAACUUUGGCUGAAACCCCAAAGUUUGGGUUUUCUGUCCUAUCAAUGGUGUGCUUUUUUGGUAUGAAAAACAGACUAAACUGCUCAUAUUACCCCGUUCUAUUGUGUUCUUAUCAUUAAUCAUCUGUGCCAGCUCCAUUGACUCCUCUAACCCUCUCUACCCUAACAAGUGUAGUGAGCUCAGAUUUCUGGCUUCAGUUCCUUCAUAAAUUUCCCUUCCAAUACUGCCUCUUGGAUUCCCCCAAAUACCCUGAUAGCAACUCAAACUUCUCCCUAUACUCCAUGAUUGGUCUUUCCUAGGUUAGAGCAAAAAACUAUUCAUACAAAUCUCCCUUUUAAGUGGCCUAAAGCUUUUCUAAUAGUCGGUCCUUGAAUUCACCCUAUAAAUCAAUGAUUGUCAUUGUUCUCGCCAUUGAAACCAUGCAAGGGCCUUUCUCUCCAAGCAUAACGCGGCCGUCGUCAGCUUUUUCCUUUUUAAGAGUCCAUUCAUGGUGAAAAGAGUGUUCUAUCUUAUACAUCCAUCCAUAGGCAUCCUCGCCUUCAAAAAUAGGCAUUAUUAGUUUCCUUACCCUAGAAUCUACCCCAAAUUGAGUCUGUCCUGCCCGAUUUCGCACUAUUAGAGGCCUCUAACCUCUCGAAUCUACAUCAAUUUCACAAAUCUUGAGAUUUAGCCCCAAAUUCUCCUAGUCCAGCCCCAUAUUAGGCUGAAAUCCCUUGCCCAAUUGUUUUAUGGUAAAAACCGCUCUUUCUCACAUCGAAAACCCCUCUUCCCGCCCAUCCGGCCCUAAAUCCGAACUAUCCAGACCCAAAAUCGCCCUGGCUUGGCCCAAAGCAACCCUAUAUCUUAUGUUGGAAAGAUAUAUCAUUUAAAUCCUACUAUUUCUAAAAUAUAACUAAUUCAAACUUUAUGUGUGUCAUUAAUUAAAAUCAUCCUCUAAUCUAUUUUUUAGAAAAUAAAACAAAAUCUCAAUAAUAAUAUUUCAUAAAACAAGCAUAUUUCAUGUUAACCCAACCAAAAACCAUCCGAAAACCUCCUUCUACACAUAGUUACAAAGAAAAUCUCACCCCAAUCCAUUAAAAUUGUCAAAUUUAAACAAAAAUUAUAAAUUUUGAAAUAAAAAUCCCAAAAUUUAUAAAAAAGGAAAAUAUUUUUUUUUCCCUCUCUUCUACUUUCUUCAUCUUCUUCGUUCUAUUCCCUGUUCAUCUUCUUCUUCGUUCAUUUUUUUCUUCUCUUUCACACACUUAACAAAUCCACAACCACUGUUAAUUUCAAAUUAGCCCAGCAAAACCCAUGUCUAUUGCCUGGCAAAAGCCAUGGCCUCGCACUGCCAUGUCCAGCAAAACCCAUGGCUACGCUAGCAAAAUCAUGGCAGCUGGGCACGGGCAUUCCAAGCAAGCCCAUGGAUGCAUGCAGCCAUGCCAAGCAAACCCAUGGCUGUGCGCGGCCAAUCCAAGCGAGCCCAUAGCUACGCGUUGCGACCAUUCCAAGCAAUCCCAUAGCCAUCAGCAACCAUUCCAAGUAAGCCCAUAGACGUGCGUAGCCAUGCCAAGCACACAUUGAUCCAAGCAAAUGGUUGUUAAUGUUGAGAGAUGAACAAAAUCUGAGGUUAUGACUAUGUUCGACAUGUCGGUUAUUCAACCUGGUAAUCGAUGAUGUGUCGGUUAUCUCGAGUAAGGAAGCCAUAUGACAAAGUUGUUCCGUCAGUUGAGUGAAUAAGUUGAGCAGGUGAUAUAACACGUGCAUUACUUACUCAAAACGUUAGAUGAAGACAGCAUUUCUGAGGUGAUUGCAACGUGUCCAAAAGCUAGUUUAAAUGGCUAGUAAAAGCUGUUGAAAGGCGCGGGAAAUUUCUAGGUUUGUUGCUAACAAACCCAGUAACGUUGAGCUGGCUUCUGGGGUAUUUCUAAAAGCAAUUUCGUGUUGUAUAAAGCCUUGUGAGUUGUUAUAUGGGAUUAAUGCAGAGGGUGACAGUUUCUCAGCUUCUUUUGUAUCUUGUAAAGGCCAGAUUAGUAAAAAAGCUUGCUUUCCUUUUCACAGUGGAUGUAGGUCACCUGUGUGGCUAAACCACUAUAAUCCUUUUAAGUCCUUGUGUGUGUGUUUUUAGUUCUUUAUCUGAUUCGAUCUCUGAUUGUUUCAGUAUCUGUGUCUUCAUCAAGAUUGUGUUGAUUAUUAGCCAUUCUUAGGUCAAAGAGAUUUUGAGUGGAUCUCAGGGGAUCAAGAUCGGUUUCUUACUAGUUUUGGUCCAGCAGUUAAUAAUUUUCAUGAUUAGUCUGGUUUUGGGGUUCACUAAUGAAUUUGGGAAGAAGCUAAGAUUUGUUGAAAAGGAGAUGAUGGGCCAAGACUUGGAAUAGUGGCGUUGCUGCACCAUCGCGCAGCUCCAAACUUCACUGCAAGUUGCUGGCAUGGCUACUGUGGCCUUAUGAUGCUUGGCGAAGAUGAAGCGUGGAGAACAUGUAGAAAACGGUAAGAAAUAAAAAAAAAGGGAAAAUGAACCGAACCAGAUAAAGAAAUUAACCAGAAAAUAAAAAAAAAAAGAAAAAAGUUAAAAAAAUUAUUUUUCUUAUUUUAAAAAGAAAUAAUUUUUAUGCUUUUGCAGUUAAAAAAUUAACUAAUUAAAAAAUAAAAAUUAUAAAUUUGGGUACAAAGCGAAUUUUAUUGAAAUGUUUGAGUGUGCAUUGAAAUUUGUUGAAACAUUUGGGCCAAAUGGUUCUUAAGAAAGAGAACCGAAUGUGAAAUGAAUUUUGUAAUCGAAUCAAAACGAAUCAAUUAAAAUAUUUCAAUUUGGUUCGAUUCGGUUCAAUUUUACAGUUCAGUUCAGGUUCAAUUCGUAUUAUGCCAAUUUGGAAAACACUUCUAAGAAACAGAAACAAAAAUAGAAACAUCAUGAGAAUUCAAAAGGAAAGAAACUGAGAGAAAAGAAACGAAACUCCAUUGAGCCAAAGAACAAGAGGCGGGGGUCUAUGUGUAUAGAGAGAAUUCAAUCACACAAGAACAAGAAACAAAAGUGGAGACAUCAUGAGAAUUCAAUCACCGUGAGAUUGCGAGGGAGAGACCAAGAGAGUUUGUUGUGCCGCCGCCGACCUUGAGAGAGAUGGCUGCCGAUUUAGGGUUAUGAAACAUUUAAGAUUAGGAAUUGAAAAAUGAAAAAAAAAAUAUUUUAGGCAUUUAUAUUUUAAAAUAAAUAUAUUUUUUUAAUUAAGUUGAAGCGAACCAAUCAGUUUGUCAGUUCAAACUAAACCGAAUACAAACCAAUUGAUUCGUUUGUUUUCAAACCAUUCGGUUUCUAACUUCUAAACCGAACCGUUGCCCGCCCCUACAUUUGGGUUUUGUGGAAAUUGCCUUUUAUGUUUUGACUUCUUAUCCAUGAGUUGACUGUUAAGAGAAUGUACAAAUAUAAUUUUAUGCUUUCACUAGUUAAAUUUAAUGGGAAGAAAACAAUAUUUGGAGAUAAGUUGAAGUUUUUAUACUUUUAAGGGUAAAUUAAAGUUUAUCAAUCUAAUAAGGGAUAGAAUACAAUUUACCCUUAUUUUUUACUCUAAAAUAACAAAUUAUUACUUAACUAAACAUAUUUCACUAAUGCUCCUUAUUUCCUACCAAACGGUGGGACUUGGCCUUGUGCCCAAAAUUCAUAAUCUAAUUUUAGCUGAUGUGACAUGUGUGCCGUAUGACAUAACUGUAGAUAAUAAUAGCUAACACAUUAACGAAAAUUAAAAAUACUAGUUUACAAAAUACAAAUCCGAAUUUUGUGUGUGAGGGAAUUUAAAAAUGGAGAGACUAAAAAAAUGUGGUGACAAAUGACAUUUAUUACCAAAAUUGAAAAUACAAAGUUUAGGCAACUGAAAGCAUCUCUUCAAUUGCAUUCAACCAAUUACCACCAUUCAUAAUUAACCAAAAUCAAAUAAAUUAAAAAAAAAAACACAAAACAAUCACAACACUUUGAUCAUCCCUGCUUUUUCUUCUUAGCAUAGCUCUUGGAAUAAAAAUUAACAAAAAGUGCCAAAAGGGACGCAUUAAACACAGCGUUGAAGCACCAACCCCAAAUCUCAGAGCAACCAAAACCCGUGAAAUGAUAAUACAGCAUCAAAACCGAAACAACAAAACCAAACACAAACUGAACAAUCUGACAAUCAGUGACCAAUCUCUUCCACUUUGGCCGCAACCCCAUCACACACAACAGAUAGUACCCGUACAUGAUCACAUGCACACUUGCAUUGGUGACAAGUGCAAUAGGAAACAAAGACUGCUUCGUCUGUAACCAAAGGUAGCACAUUACAACGACGGUUGUAUGGUGGUAGACGUGGAGGAACGUGAGCCGUUGGACGGAGUUUGACAAAAUGAUCAAAAGGGUGUCUAAGAAUUCGAGUAUUUUGGAGAGUUAGAAGAUGUAAGCGUAGAAGAAGAGAGGGCCAGACGGAGAAAUGGUAGGGGGGAAAUAGAGGGUGUAACGGAGGUGGGGUAAAUGGAGGAUGAUGGAGAGAGUGCAACCAACGGCUAUGAUGAGGGAGGAGAGGAGGAGGGUGAGGUUAUGGACGGCUAUGAUGGGCUUGAGGAUGUGGGGUCCAAUGAGAGGUGAUGAUGGUGGUGAUGUUGAUGUUGAUGCGUGGUAGAGGAUGAAUGUGAGGGAGAGGUAAGUGAGGAUGGAGAGAAUGAGGAAGUGUGGGGAGGAAGCUAGUGUUUGGUUCUGAGUCCAUGUGAAGUUGAGGAUUUGGGGGUGGUUUAUAGCAAAUAUUGGAGUGUUGCGGUAAUUGAAUAUGAAGCCAUGGCUGGUUUUUUGGGGGAGAAAGAUUUGGAAGAGAUGAUGUUCAGAGGAACGGGGGAAUUUAUAAAGUUUUGGGAUAAUGCGGAGGGUAUUUUGGACAUAUUGUUAUCUUAGCUUAAAUUUUAGGAAAAAGAUAAUCAAUAAUAACCUCUUUUUUCAUGUCAAUUUAAAACUCCGAGUGUGGAAGUUUUCCUUCGAAUAGCUCUCUCUCUUUUAGAGAGGCUUGAAUGGAAAAAUAUUAAGGGGUCGUAAGGACUCAGGUGGUCACUCCUAGUGAGUGGAAAGUAAUCUAAACCAGCAAGCUGUUGGGAUUGAUGUGCUGGUGGAGAAAGUUUCGAAGAGCCAAAGGUAGUGUAAAGCGUUGGGGUACGAGUCAAAGCAAGCAAGCUGAAAGAACUCACUAUCAGCUCUAGCGUUAUUUGCCAUGGACACUGAAGAGCUAAUUCGCAAGUGUCAAGCAAUAAAUAUCAGAGAGGAAGACAAAGCCAAAAUAACACUGGAGGUGACUCUGGAAAAAAAGAAAGAACUAAUGAUGGCAGGCUGCUUAGUGGGUAAAGUAAUGCUCGCGAAGGGAGUAAAUAAAGAGGGUCUCAAGGCUGCGUUACAGCAGGUGUGGAGGACUUUCAAAGAAGUCAAAAUCGAAAGCGUGGGAAACAACAUCUUCAUGUUUAAAUUUGCUGAGGAAGCAGACAAGAAAAGAGUGCUAAAAGGGGGACCAUGGCACUUCGACAGGGCAUUGAUUGUACUCGCUGAGCCAAGGGGGAUUGGGGAAGUCGCAAAACAAUCCUUUACUCAUACAUCCUUUUGGGUGCAGAUUCGUAAUGUUCCACUAGCGUGUAUGGAUAAAGAUUUUCUCCGGGAGCUGGGUGAGAAGCUAGGAUCAGUUGAAGAGGUCCAAACUGAUGAUAAUGGAGAUUGUAUUGGGGAAUAUGCCAGAAUAAGAGUUUCAAUUAAUAUAACAUUGCCGCUAGAGAGGAUUCUAUUUCUAAAGCGAGAAGGUGAAACUGAUAUCCCAAUGCCAGUGGUCUAUGAACGUUUGCCGGAUUUUUGUUAUUGCUGCGGCAUCAUAGGACAUCAAUACAAAGAGUGUGGCAAAUACCAAGACCAACCAAGAGAAGAUUUACCAUAUGGGAGCUGGAUGAAAGCGAUUACGGUAGGGGGCUUCACAAAGAGGAAUCAGAACCAGGGAAGGUGGAACUAUGGGGCUGGAAAAUCGGAUGAAAAAUCAGCAAGCUCAGAAAAUCACAGCUUCCAGCAGCAGCAAGGGCAAAACAAAGAAAACCCGAUAGAGGCAAACGGGUCGGUACAAAAUGAGAAGGAAAUGGGGCAAACCAUGGAGCAUGCUAAGAAUGAUGUGAUAGGAGGAGUAGCUGAGCAACAAUUAAUGCAAGGAGUGUCACAGUCAGCGGACAAAAAACAAACUGACGGCCACAAGCAAGCUAAGAAAAGUGGCAAUGCAACAGUCCCAAGAAAAAUGGGCACACAAGCGGGAAAUGGUAUCCUAAACGAGGGGGAAAAAAUGCAAAUAAGUCAUGAAAAGGAAGCUGGAAAAAAUGAUGGGCCGGAAGUCUCUCAGCUACAGCCCAAUAAGAGAAAGUGGAAGAGAUUACUUAGAGAGCUAAGUGAAGGGGGGGAAGAAAUGGAGGUACAAACUCGGAAAAGGCCAAGGGGGAAAAAACUCUGGCAAAGCCCAAGGAAAAAAACAAAACUCUCCAACUCAAACCAGCUCGAGACAAAAAAUCUGAUGCAUGUUUCUUCAACAGCAAGUCUUCAGCUGGGGUGGGAACCACUGAUGCUGGAAGAGGUGGUAGUUAUGGAAGCAAACAACAUGGAGAUAGCGGCGGAGGCUGGUGGCCAGCCCCGCCGAAAACCAUGAAUAUCCUCAGCUGGAAUGUUCGGGGUUUGGGGAAUCCCCGAGCAUUUCAAGCCUUAAGAAAAAUCCUCCAGUUGCAUGGUGCUCAGCUGGUGUUCUUGUGUGAAACAAAGGUAUCAACCAUGCAAAUGAAUGUAAUUGCAAGUAAGCUGAGCUUCGAGAAUUGCCUUGCGGUAAACGGUAAUGGAAGAGGAGGCGAAAUAGCAAUGCUCUGGAAGUCAGAUAUUGAGGUGCAAAUCAAAUCAUACAGCCAGCACCACAUUGAUGCCGAAACUCAAAUGCCAAAUGGGAAUCAAAUGCGAAUUACAGGAGUGUAUGGGCAUCUGGAAAUAAGCCAGAAAAAGCACACUUGGACGCUCCUCAGACGGCUGGCGGUUUUAUCUUCUAGUCCUUGGUUGUGUUGUGGAGAUUUUAACGAAAUUUUACAUCCAAAUGAGAAGAGGGGCGGCAAUGACAGAAAUGUGAAUUUAAUUAAUGAGUUUAGAGAAGUCUUGAGAGAUUGUGGCUUAAAGGAUGUCGGGUUUCGGGGGUAUGCUUUUACUUGGAAUAAUGGAAGAUAUGGGGAGGGUUUUGUGGAAGAAAGGUUGGACAGAUUUGUUUGCUCUAAAGCUUGGAGUGAUAGAUUUGUGGACUGUGCAGCAAGUAAUCUGGACUCCUGGACUUCGGAUCAUUGUCCCGUGCUGAUGGUUGUUCAAGAGAGAAGGGAGGGUAUGAUCCAAAGGGGUAGACAUUCCUCGCGAAUCCAUUAUGAGGAUAUGUGGAGUUCGUAUGACGGAUGCAAAGAGAUAAUUAAGGAGGAAUGGGGGCUGUAUAGAAACUGGAGCAGUGAAAAUUCAGCCCAAUCCUUUCGACAAGCAACAAAAACUUCGAUGGGUAGGCUGCUGGGGUGGAGCAAGAGGGAAUUUAGAAAGCGUGACAGAAAAUUAGAGAAGCUGAAGGUUCAGCUGAGGGAGUUAAAACAAAGAAGGGUGCAAUUUGUAGAUGGUGAGGAAAUUCGGAAGGUGGAGAAGCAAAUUCAAAAUAUUCUUAUGGAUGAAGAAAUCUACUGGAAGCAACGUUCAAGAGCAGAUUGGCUCAAGGAGGGGGACAAAAAACACAAAAUUUUUUCACGGCAAAGCGACGGCAAGAAGGAAAAAAAACAGAAUUUGGGGGAUUGAAGAUAAUUUUGGGAAAUGGAUUGAAGAGCCAAUCAAAGUAGAGCAUGAGUUUUGCAACUAUUUCACCAAGCUUUUUACAUCAACCCAGCCGAGACAAGAUCAAAUUGCAGCAGCUUUGGAAGGAAUAACUCCAAGAGUUUCAGCCAGUAUGAAUGAGAGUCUGGGGGCACCUUUUACAGCCGAGGAAGUGUUGGAAGCGCUGAGCCAAAUGUGCCCAACAAAGGCUCCGGGGCCGGAUGGUUUGCCAGCCGUGUUUUACCAAAAGCAUUGGCAUUCGGUCAAGGAGGGAGUGCUCACCACUUGUCUGCAUAUCCUUAAUUCACAAGGUACCAUCGGCCCUCUAAACCACACUUACAUUGCUUUGAUACCAAAAAUCGGAAAGCCUAGGAAAGUGACAGAUUUUAGGCCUAUUAGUUUGUGCAAUGUCAGCUAUAGAAUUGUUGCUAAAACAGUUGCUAAUAGAUUUAAGCAAGUUUUGCACAAAAUCAUCUCUCCAUCGCAAAGUGCCUUCAUUCCUAAUAGGCUGAUCACUGACAAUAUAAUAGUUGGCUAUGAAUGUUUGCACAAAAUUAGGCAUUGUAAAAGCAAGCGAAAUGGAUUAAUUGCCUUAAAGCUUGAUGUUAGUAAAGCUUAUGAUAGAUUGGAAUGGAAUUUCUUAGAGCAAACUUUGGAAAAAUUAGGCUUCUCGCAGCAAUGGAUUAGCUUGAUUAUGAGGUGCAUUAGUUCGGUUUCAUUUUCAGUGUUAAUAAAUGGUGCAGUGAAAGGCUUAAUUAAACCUCAAAGGGGCUUACGUCAAGGAUGCCCCCUCUCCCCAUAUUUGUUUAUUACAUGUGCAGAGGCCUUUUCAUCUUUGCUGCAGCAAGCUGAGCAACAACAACUCAUUCAUGGGUUAUCUUUUGGAAGCAAUCUGAAGAUUUCGCACCUCCUUUUUGCCGAUGACAGCCUGGUCUUCAGCAGAGCCUCCAUGGCCGACUGUCACAACUUGAAGAUGAUCCUUGAGUGUUACUCCACAGCUUCGGGCCAAAUUUUUAACUUCGAGAAAUCUUCCCUUUUUAUCAGUGGCAAUGUACAGCAAGAUCAAACUGAGGCUCUUGGGAAUCUAUUUCAGCUCAAUAUUGUGUCGAGACAUGAGAAAUAUCUAGGCUUGCCAUCGAUGAUUGGGAGAAAGAGAAGCAGUUUUUUCAAUGACAUCAAGCUGAAGGUUGCUAAUAAGAUCUCAAGCUGGCAGCAUAAAUUCUUUUCUUGCGGAGGGAAAGAAGUCUUAAUCAAAGCGGCUGUUCAAGCUAUCCCAGCCUACGCAAUGAGCGUCUUUAAAAUUCCAGGGGGUGUUUGUGAUGAUAUUCAAAAGAUGGUGGCAAAGUUUUGGUGGGGCUCCAAGAGGGAAGGGCGGAGUAUUCACUGGGCGAAGUGGGAAAAACUGAGCCAAGCCAAGUGUUUGGGAGGGAUGGGAUUUCGUGACUUCUCAAGUUUUAACUGAGCUCUUCUAGCAAAGCAAGGCUGGAGGAUUCAGCAAUGUCCAGAUUCGCUGGUGGCAAGGGUCCUGCAAGCUAGAUAUUUCCAGUCAACCAAUUUCUUGGCUGCUAAACUCGGCUCAAACCCCUCAUAUAUUUGGAGAAGUCUUCUGUGGGGGAGGAAAAUUAUUUGCGCGGGCUCUAGGUGGAGAGUUGGCAAUGGUCAGAAAAUUCAUGUUCAUAAGGCUAAUUGGAUCCCACGGGCUUAAACUUUCCAGCCAAUAGUUAAGCCAUCUCUGCCCCCUGAUGCUAUGGUCUCGGAAUUAAUCACUGAGGCAAACUGUUGGGAUGAAAAGAGGAUUUAUGAGCAUUUUGACCAUAUGGAUGCUGAUUUAAUUGCUAAGAUUCCCCUGCCUCGAAGUCCAAGGGAGGAUGAGCUGAUUUGGCAUUAUGGAAAAAAUGGCCAAUUCUCGGUUAGAAGUGGAUACCAGACAGCUCUCCAAAUGAAAUUUCCAGCCAUGGCUUCAAGCUCAGUGGUUUCCAAAAAUGAGUGGAAUAUUAUUUGGUCCCUUGCUUUGCCUCAAAAGAUCAGAAUCUUUGCUUGGAGAGCAGCCAAAAACCAACUCUCAUCAGCUGAGAAUCUGUGGAGGAAAAAAAUAAUCCAGAAUCCCACGUGCCAAGUCUGUAAAAUAGGAACAGAAAAUGUCUUUCAUGCUCUAGUAGCCUGCAAAUCGGCUGAGAAGGUGUGGAAGCUAAUCCAUUUUGAUGAUGACAUUCGUGCAGCUCACAGUCAAGACAUUCUAAGCAUACUGCAUGCUAUGAAAAGGAUGAGAAACAGAGACGACCUGGAGCUGUUGGUAACAAUUUUCUGGGUUAAAUGGAAUGCUAGAAAUCAGAUGAUCUUCAAAGGGAAAAAGGAAACCCCCCAGAUCAUGGUAGCUAAAGCUGAAGCCUUGAUUGCUGCUUAUAAGAGGGUGCAUUCUCCAGAUGAGGCCUGCAGUGAAACAGAGCAGAAAGCACCUCCCCAGAAAUGGAACCCCCCUCAAGCUGGUUUUGUAAAAGUAAACACUGAUGCAGCCAUUUGCUUUGAAAAGAACAUUGUAGGGCUGGGGGUAGUAAUAAAAAAUGUUUUGGGGCAUGUUACAGCAGCUGCUAUCAAGGUUGCUAAGUUUCAUGGAGAUGUUUCUUAUGCGGAAGCAGAAGCCAUGGAAUGGGGUAUGUUAGUGGCGAGAGAGGCCAACAUGAAAGCUGUCAUCAUGGAAUCAGAUUCUCAAGGUGUGGUCAAUUUAGUUAACAACAAGCAGGGCAGCAGAUCCGAGAUCUAUUGGGUUGUGUCAGAAAUUCAGAAUCUAGCGGAAAGUUUCGAUCGUGUUAGCUUUAAAUACACGCCUAGAUCUUGUAAUGUUAUUGCCCACUCUUUAGCUAAACUAGCUUUAGAGAAGUGCGAGAAUGUUGUGUGGAAAGGGUCAUACCCUUCACAAGUGAUGUAUCUCUUUUCUUCUUUAGUUUAAUGGAAAUCUCUUUUCAAAAAAAAAAAAAAAAAAAAAACUCCGAGUGUGAGUCCAAAAAUAGUUUUCGUUUUUCUAUUUUGGAUUUUAAAUCGUAAAUUUAGUAAAGGAAGUUAAAUCAAGUGAUCACUUUUUUUUUUUAAUGUAAAGCUAUUAUUUUUUUUAUGAUUUAAGAAAAUAUUUAGUUGCGUACUUUAACGAUAUUAAUAUUUGAUUCGAAAUUUCAUCUACUGAAACUACAAAAAUUAAUAUUUUCUAAUAAAUCAAAACUAAAAUUAAAAGAUGACUCAUUGUCUGCCAACUGUCAUUAAACGAAGCCAUCACUCACGCCAAAAAAAAAAGUGAUAUAUUCAUUUUAACGUAAUUUCAUACCAGCAAAUCAUUCAUUUCUUUCAAACAAUGACCUCUUUAAUUAUCCAAGGCUUUGUGAUAACGGCAUCUUUGGACGUGAGUGUCAUUAGACUUUUGGCUCAAUCAGACUUGUGGAUUACAUGCACUCAACUUCGAUAAUAUAGAAAUGGGAGAAAAUUAUGUCAGUAAAAUCAAGUCAGUCAAAUAAGAAUUGUGUAUUUUAAAAAAAGUUGGAAAAAACGGGUUGACGGUGCAUAAUUUCCUAACUAGAAUUUCCCAACUCACUAGAAUUUCCUAAAGUUGGAGUAAAUAAGACUCCAAAGGAACAUGGCAAUUAUUAUUAUCUAGGAAAUAAUUCAUAGCUAAAACAAAAUUAAAUUUCCUAACUCACUAGAAUUUAACUGGAGAAAAAUUGGAAUAUACAAAGUUGUAUCAUAUAUAGUAUUUAGACAUCAAGAAAAGAAUCCCUGUAUCAGUGAACCAUACUUGCCAGGAAACACCGGGCGAAUACCACCACCUCCUACUAGUUCUUAGGUGUCUCAGAGUUUGAUGACGACUUCCAUGCUGUGUCUCUUCGACAGGCAGUAAAAUUGGGGAAUUGACUACAUUAACUCCAAGAAAUUUAUGCAGUCACCUUACUCCGGACUAUCUUGUUUGACGCCAAGGAGCCCAAGCCUAGAAACAAUGGCACUCUUUGGUAUCAACCACCUGGGGACUUUUGAGCUGAGCCAUGACAUCCUGAGAUGGGCUGUUGUGUAAGCCUUCUUCAAAAGGUCAUCCGUUGAUCUUUCUCCUAAUUAGACCAUCAAAACCCUGCAUGGAAUCCAUUGGAGAAGUUGGACAAUAGACAAACUCCAACACAUACAGACAGUAAAGAAGAAUUUAGACCGCAAUCACUGUGGCUGAACAAAUGGGCCUAUUAAAGCCUAUUAAAAGUUGGAACCAUAUUCACCACCCGCAUUUCCUUAGAGAACUAUAUCAGAAUUCUGUAAAUUUGAAACUAUUCUUACAUAUUUAACUGUAAAACAAGAGAAAUUGUACUUCCGUAGCAAAGUCUCACUAUUGGCAAGUAUCUGGACUUGGAAAGGAUGCUAGUUGAUUAAGUAAAGGAAAAUUGAAAUCAGACUUUGAGGUGAUAGAUCUAUAUCCAUUUUUAUAGGAACCGCAUUAACAUCAUAUGAGACAAAUAAACAAAUAACCCAGUCAAAGUUCAACAAACAAAACAUUAAAACAAGAGUAAUUUGGUCUAUCAAUGUAUAUUUAGAGAUGUCGAUCAAUAGACAAAUACGUAAAAGAGAGACGGAGAGACCUCAAAGCCGUGCUUAAGAACAGUGCUACUCCAAUAACAUCAAAAUGGUUGGUGACCGCUCUAUCAAAUCCACACAAUAGCUGAUAUCUCAUGUUUGCAUAUAGUUCAAUGAAAGCACCAUAACCAGGCGCUUUAGUACUUACAGAUGGGAUUGUCACAGGUAACCUGUCAGACAUCAAAUAUGGCCCAAAUUUACAGAUGGGAUUGUCGCGUUAGUGCUUAGACAGUAAACAUUUGCUCUAGUAGCCUGAUUACACAAGAAAUCGAGACAAGUGUUCAAAAUUUUAAUCUUUAUAUAUAGCCAAAAUGAUAAUGUAGUUGAUAAUACUAACCUGAGUUAAUAAAUACGGGGCUGGUAACAAUCACAGCAUCUCAUCAUGUGGGGAAAGCCUUCGCAACAGAAGACGCUGCUUGCUUUGAAGCAAUAAUAACUUUCCAAUUCCAUAAGGUAGCUUAAUGCCCUUUUAGGAUAUCAGCACCAGCCUAACAAUUAUUCAUGGAAAUUCGAUUUGCAUUUAUCACCUUUAAUUUGCUCAUCUUUGCCUAGAGUAUUGUUUUUGCGUAAACUUAACAAGCUUGCAAGCCACCUACAAAUGGUUUUAAAUAUGUGUGAGAGUGUGAAUUCGAACGAAUUAAUCAAAUAUGAUGACAGAAGAAACAAAAGCAAAACAACCACAAGACGUAGAAAUAUACUUUUGUUAUAUUUAGAGCAUCUUCUACUGUCUUCUUUUCCUUUAGCUCUGUUUCUGUGUGUGUUCAAACGCAAUGCCUCAAGGCUCAAGAUAAUUUUAUGACCAUCAAUCUUUUGCAGCCAUAUGCAGACUUGAAACACUGUAGUGUCCCUAAGGAACUUGAAAAUUAGAAAGUUUCAGAAUGAGUGACUAAAUAUGAUAAUCGAAACUAAUUUAAUAUACACGCCUUGUAAAUCUGAAACUAAAUUACUCAAAUGUAUAUGCCUCUUUGCAGCAAAGAAACAGAGUCAAUAUACGAAGAUGAUUUUACUAACCAGUGAGAGCUUGCAAAUAUUGGAAGGAUAACGAUUACUCAUAACCCAAAUCCCCAAUACCUUCUAAUACCUCACUCACUUGAGUUCAAGCUCCCAAAAUUCACUACAGUGAAACUCUCACAACAAAAUUCUCUUCAAAGAUUCUCUACUCAAAUUUGAUUAAGCUGCUUAGAAUCCUUAACCUGAUAACUUACACAAACAAAAACAACUUGCCUAAAGUUUAAUAUUUAGAGGCAGAACAGUAAAGAAGAAGAUAUAUAUUGAUACUAAAAUUUGACCUGUAUUACCCUGAUGUCAAGAAUCACGACAUCUCAUGUGGGCAAAAUCUUCACAAUACGAGAUGCUUCCAAAAUUGAAGCAGCAUCUUAUCACCUGUAAUUUAAUUAAGACAAUAACUUUCCCCAACUAUUCCAAUGCAUUAUUGGGAACUAAAUUCAGAGGGCGCUAAUUAAAUAUCCUUUUAAUAAUAUCUUCUUAUUCUUCUCCAAUCUAACAGUUAUUUGGAAAUCUGAAAAGAGGUUCAACAUUUUACAACCAAUCAAAAAUCACUGAACCAUUGGAAAGUGAUUUACGUAUAAUUUUUUUUUUUUCCAAACUCUGUCCAAAAUGAUGAAUGAGAUAGGAUGACACAAGAAACAAAUGUAAAUUGACCGCAAGUAGAAAUAUACUUCUGUUAUAUUUGCAACAUCUUCUAGGGUCAAUUGCUUUUCCUUGAGCUCUGUUUCUGCAUGUGCUCAAAUGCAACACACAUACCACAAGAUAUAAUUAUCAACAGGAUCUCCCUAAGUUACAUGCAUGUAACUUAGCAUUAGCCUUAUCAACAUGAAUCUUUUGCCGCCACAUGCAGCCCGUGGAAAACUGUUUAUGGCCAUAAAGAACGGGAUAAUCAGAAAUCAUUAACAACGAGAGAAAUCAUUUUAAUCGCAGCCAAACAUACACACUAAGAAAAUCUAAAAUUGAAUUUCUCCCAAUGAAUGUGCCUCUUCACAGCAAUUGCACUAGCUAAUCCCAGCAGCCUGCGUCAUGGAGCUUCUCCCAAUGAGUGAGUGAGCCUUGAACAGUUAUCACUUAGCUCAAACUAAAAUGAAAUUAUUGUGGACAUCUGACUUAAAAAUACAUGUAAAAGCAGUUUUCUCAAAGCAAGGUCAAGAUAAGAGAUUAACUCUGCUUGUUAUUUACAUUAAAAAUAACAAACAAUGAAAAACAGAGCUAGAGAAGAACUUACCUGUGCAUUGAGACCAUGUGGGGAAUGUGAGAUAUCUUCUUAUAUUUGGUUUGAGAAACUCCAUCUUCUUCUGAAAGUUCUGACAGUUCCCUAAACCCAGGCCAAUACAAUUGCAACAGAAACUGCAUGCUUUAACCAGCAUCUUAUCAUCUCCUCUUAUUUCAAGACAAUAAUAACUUAAUUGCAACACUGCGUGCUUCCACCAUUAACCUUUUCAAUUUCAACACUUCUUUUGUCCCCCGCCCGAUGCCCUUUUAACAAUUCUAUGAAUCAGAUAAAUCAGCCUUCAACCCCAAAUUCCUUCCUGAUCCGUGGAAGCAUUUCAGCCCACAGACGGUUUGCUUUGUCAAUGUACAGCAACUCAGGAUUCUAUAUUUAAACUAUGAUGUUUGACAUUGCCCCAAGCACUUUUUUACAGGAGCUAAAAUCAAGCCAGUCACUUCCAUUUGUUGCAGUUUUAAUGCAGAAAGAAAAAGGGGGAAAAAAAUCCGCAAGAUGCCACUUGUAAUACCGCAUGUUCGCAGAAGCAGAGUUAAAUAAUUACAAAAUUACAUUCUUGAUUGCACAGAAAUGAUAUAUAGCAAAACAAGCAUAAGGAAAUAACAAUAUAAUUUUACAUUGUUCAGCUUUUGGUCUACGUCACAGUCAAAGACGGGAAGAGAAUUUUACUAAGAAAUAAGAGUGUACUAAUGUUAAAGAAAAACAUUCACUAAUCGCUGAUAUAUGCUUAAUUUCUCACCCACUAAGAACGUUCAAUUCACUCAAAUGAAACUUUCACAGGAAGGUCUCAUUUUUAAGGCAUUAGCUUCACUUCACAUGCUCAGCAAUUCAAAUUUGAGGAUGAUAUUUCUCAAAAUUGAGGGCUCUAUUUGGCUUGCCAACAAUCUUCCUCACCACUAUCAUCCUUGCUAUACCGGUUGCACUGAACAAUCUUCAUUCUGACAUUUGCACUAUUAACCUGAGUGCACAAGAAUCCGAAACAACUGUUAGAAAUUUUAAUCUUUAUAUAUAGCCAAAAUGGUGAAUAAGAUGAUGUACUUGAUAACAAAAACCUGAUUUAAUAAAUAAUUAAGCGGCCGAUAACAAGCACAGAAUCUCAUCGUGUGGGGAAAGCCUUGACAACAGAAGAUGGUGCUUUCAUUCAAGCAAUGAUAACUUUCCAAUUUCAUAAGGUAGCUUAAUGCCCUUUUAAGAAUAUCUGCACCAGCCUGACAAUUAUUGAUGGAAAUUCAAAUUCAGAAUCAUGUUCGUAUGAGAGAUGAAAUGUAAUGAGCGACUUGGCCACCAUAUAUGCAUUUAUCAUCUUCAAUUUGCUCAUCUUUGUCUAGAGUAUUGCUUCUGCGUUAACUUAAUUAGCGUGCAAGCCACCUGAAAAUGGUUUUAAAUAAUGAGAGAGAGUCUGAAUUCGAAUGAAUUAAUCAAAUAUGAUGACAGAAAACAAAAAAGUAAAAUAACCACAAGAAGUAGAAAUAUACUUUUGUUAGAUUUAGAGCAUAAUUCUUCUGUCAAGUUCCUUUCCAUUAGCCUUGUUUCUGUGUGUGCUCAAACGCAAUUCCUCAACACUCGAGAUAGUUUCUGCAGACCUGAAAAACUGGUUGUGGCCCUAAGGAACUUGAAAAUUAGAAAAGAUUCAGAAUGAGUGACUAAAUAUUUUAAUCAAAACUAAUUAAACAUACACGCCCUGAAAAUCUGAAACUGAAUUACUCAAAUGAAUAUGCCUCUUCACAGCAAUUGGUUGAAACUUUACUGCAAAGACUUUUUGAAACCCUUGAAGAUGAUACUCUACCUGAUAACACAAGGAAACACAAUCAAUAUAAGAAGAUAAUUUUACAAACAAAUGAAAGUUUGCAAUUAUUGGGAGAGCUCUACUCAAAUUUAAUGAGAUAUCUCUCAGAAGGGAGAGCUCUAAUAAUAUAUAAAGCCAAAAAUCUAACACUCAUCAAAUUGGCUUGUAAACAAUUAAUCUUCCUUACCAUUAUCCAUGCCAGGCGUGGUGAUCAAUCUUCAUUCUGACAUUUGCCUUAAUAAGCUGCUCAGUAUCCUUAACCUGAUAACUCACUCAAACAAAAACAAUUUUACUAAAGUUCAUUUUUUCAAGGCAAAACAGUAAAGAAGAUGAUAAAUGCUGAUACAAAAAAUUGACCUGAGUUGUCCUGUUGUCAAGAAUCACAGCGCCUCAUGUGGGCAAGAUCAUCGCAAUACAAGAUGCCGAAUUCAAGCAACAUUAAAUCACCUGUAAUUUAAUUAAGACAAUAACUUUCCUCAACUAUUACCCUUCUCAAUUUCAAUGUAUUAUUGGCAACUAAAUUCAUAGGGGACGUAGCAAAUUAAAUGCCCUUUUAACAAUAUCUUCCCCACCUAACAAUUAUUUGGAAAAUCUAAAUGACAAUCAUGCAUUGAUGGCAUAAAAAAUUGGCCACAAAGCUGCCUAGAAAACGGCUUUAAAUUCUUAAUGAGACAACGUAUUCGAACAAAUAUGGUGAAUGAAGAGACAAAGGCAUAACACCUCAAGAAGUAAAGCUUUGUUUCUGUAUGUGCUCAAACCAAUGGAAACCCAUGGAAAUGAAUUUCUACGAAUUAGACAUGUCAGCCAAAACAGGUACUCUGUACAAGCAAAGUAAAAGAGAGUUACAAAAAUUUUUAAGAUAAUUAAACUUUUAGUCACCAUAUAAUUAAUAGAAAACUUUGUACACAAUGAUUUAUAUGAGAUUAAGAUUGUAUACCUAAGUUUUAAUUGCAAACUAAAUAUACACAACAUGAUAUUAGCAUUAGAAGACUGAACCAAAACGUACCGAAUUGAAUGUACCUUUUAACGGCCAUUGUACAUGCAUUGAAAGUUUACCGCAAAAUCUGUUUCAAACGUGAUGCAUCUUAGAGAUGCAAGAUGAGAAAUUGUUAGUACAACUAGCAUUGAAACACGUGUGAAAACUGUUAAUGGACCUAAAUAACUUGAAAAUCAGAAAAGAUUAGGAAUGAGUGACUAAGCCUGCUAAUCGCAACUAAACAUACAAACCUUGAAAAUCCAAAAUUGUACUCGAUGAAUGUGCAAUUGCUCGAGCAGGUAAAUUUACUGCAAAGGCUCUUACAAACCCUCAAAGAUGAUACUCUACAUACCAUGGUAACCUGAAUAACAAAAAGAAACACAGUGAAUAUUAAAGGGCAUUCUGACAAUGCAAAUUUGUGCAAAUUAACAACUGCGGUUACCUGCAUAAUAGUGUUAAUACUGAAUUCCUUCCUCCAUGGAAGCAUAUGAUCAGCCCACAUGUGCUUUGCUCUGUAGCUUUUGAGUACCUGAAAUUGUUAUUACAACCAACGGUGAAAAUUGGGUGAAAAAAUGGUAAUAUUAGCAUAAUUGAAUUUGCUUAUAGAGGAUAAACCGAUCAAAGAAAACAACAAGAUAGAAAUGAUUAUCUUAGUACCUUAAUAUCAUGCAAUAAAAAUCAUCAUGCCUUCCAGGCAGCUAUCCAUCCUCAAUUGAAACAGAGCAGACCUGGCCAUCACUUCUUCAAAGUCCAGCAACUGAACGUUGCACACAACACCACAGUGGAAGUAGUUCCAUCACCAGCCUAAUCCUUGAUUACCCCAAUGUUCUCCAUAGGGUCUUCAAAGUCAACCUAAAAAUAAAAUGAAAAUCCAAUGCAUUAUUAUUAGGGAUCUAGUGCUUGAGUUUGCUUUGACAUCAUGGUAUUAGCAAAUUCUGAUAUAGCCAAAAUGGUGAAUAAGAUGAUGUACUUGAUAAAAAAAACCUGAUUUAACAAAUAAUUAAGAAGCAGGUAACAAUCAGAUAAUCUCAUCAUGUGGGGAAUGCCUUGGCAACAGAAGAUGGUGCUUUCAUUCAAGCAAUAGCAACUUUCCAAUUUCAUAAGGUAGUUUAAUGGCCCUUUUAAGAACAUCUGUACCAGCCUAACAAUUAUUCAUGGAAAUUAAAAUUCAGAAUCAUAUUAGAUUGAGAGAUGAAAUAUAAUAAGCAAUAUGCAUUUAUCACCUUCAAUUUGCUCAUCUUUGUCUAGAGUAUUGCUUCUGCAUUAACUUAAUUAGCUUGCAAGCCACCUACAAAUGGUUUUAAAUAAUGUGUGAGAGUGUGAAUUCGAACGAAUUAAUCAAAUAUGCUGACAGGAGAAACAAAAGUAAAUAACCACAAGAAGUAGAAAUAUACUUUUGUUAUAUUCAGAGCAUCUUCUUGCGGCAAGUUCUUUUCCUUUAGCUCUGUUUCUGUUUGUGCUCAAACGCAAUGGCUCAAGGGUCAAGAUAAUUUUAUGACCAUCAAUCUUUUUGCAGCCACAUGCAGACUUGAAAAACUGGUCGUGGCCCUAAGGAACUUGAAAAUUAGAAAAGAUUCAGAAUGAGUGACUAAAUAUUAUAAUCGAAACUAAUUAAACAUACACGCCUAGAAAAUCUGAAACUGAACUUCUCAAAUGUAUAUGCCUCUUCGCAGCAAUUGCUUGUGGUGGAAACUUUACUGCAAGGACUUUCUCAAACCCUUGAAGAUCACACUCUACCUGAUAACAAAGAAACAUAGUCAAUAUACGAAGAUGAUUUUACUAACAAGUGAGUGCUUACACAUAUUGGAAGGAUAAUGAUUACUCAUAAUAUCUCACUCAAGUGAGUACGAGCUCCCAGAAUUCACUACUGUGAAACUCUUACAACAAAAUUCCGUUCAAAGAUUCUCUACUCAAAUUUGAUGAUGAUGUCCCUCGAAAGGAGGCAAAAAAUCUAACACUGAUCAAAUUGGCUUGUGAACAAUUAAUCUUCCUGGCGAUCAUGCAUACCAGGUGUGGUGAGCAAUCUUCAUUCUGACAUUUGCCUUAAUAAGUGGCUUAGUAUCCUUAACCUGAUAACUUACACAAACAAAAACAACUUGAUUAAAGUUUAAUAUUUAGAGGCAAAACAGUAAAGAAGAUGAUAUAUAUUGAUACUAAAAUUUGACCUGUGUUAUCCUGACGUCAAGAAUCACAGCAUCUCAUGUGGGCAGAAUCUUCGCAGUACAAGAUGCUUGCAAAAUUGAAGCAGCAUCUUAUCACCUGUAAUUUAAUUAAGACAAUAACUUUCCCCAACCAUUUCAAUGCAUUAUUGGCAACUAACUUCAAAAGAUGCUAAUUAAAUAGCCUUUGAACAAUAUAUUCUAAUUCUUCUCCAAUCUAACAAUUAUUUGGAAAAUCUAAAUGACAAUCAUGCAUCGACGGCAUCAAAAUUUGGCUACAAAGCAGCCUGGAAAAGGCUUUACUCUCUGAAUGAGAGCAUGAAUUCGAAACAAAUAUCAUGAAUGAAGAAACAAAGGCAUAAUACCACAAAAAGUAAAACUUUUUCCCAGGGCUCUCUGUUUCUGUUUGAACUAAAACCAAUGGAAACCGAUGGAAAUGAAUUUCUAGGAAUUAGACAUAUCAGCCAAAACAGGUACUCUGUACAAGCAAAGUAAAAUAGGGUUACAAAAAAUUUUAAGAUUGAUAUGAUAAUUAAAAUUUCAGUCACCAUAUAAUUAAUAGAAAACUUUGGACACAAUGAUUUAUUGCAUAUUAAGAUUGCUAUAUAAAAUAUAAUAUUAGCAUUAGGAGACCGCACCAAAGCAUACCGAAUUGAAUGUGCCUUUUCACAGCCAUUUUACAAGCUUUGAAGCUUCACCACAAAUGCUUUUUCUAACCCGUGAACAUGGUGCACCCGAGAGAUGCAAGCUAUGAAAUUGUUACUACAGCAAGCGUUGGAACAUUUGUUAAAAAAGGAAGUUUAUGAAAAUACGCCUUUGGAUACCAGUCUUCAGGAAUCAAUUCAUCCGUAAUAACAAUUUUCAAGAAGUAUCAACUGCUUUAAGCUCAUCGACAUCACAAAGAUCUUCAACUAAAAUAGAGCAGAUCCGGCCAUCACUAUCCCUUCUACUGCUCUUUUCCUUUAGAGAAUGAUUGAAUUACAGAAUGCGUGUAAGGCAUUCUUAUUCAAGGUCCAAUGAUCAAACCUUGCACUAUAACAACAGAGGUAGUAGUUUCUUCGCCAGCCUAAUCCUUGGUCUCAGGAAUGUCCUCAACAGAGUACUCAAAAUCAACCUAAAAAUUAAGAAUGAGUUGGAAAACUGUUUAUGGCCCUAAAGAACUUGAAAAUCAGAAAAGAUUAAGAAUGAGUGACUAAACAUUUUAAUCGCAACUAAACAUCCAAACCUUGAAAAUCUAACUUUGAAGUACUCUUGAAUGAAUGAGCAAUUGCACGAGCUGGUGACAACUAAGGUUACUGUGAAGUCUCUUACAAAUCCUUAAAGAUGAUACUUUACAUACCACAAUAACCUGAUAACACAUAGGAACACAAUAAACAUUAAAGUGUAUUCUGACAAUGCAAAUUUGUGGAAAUCAUCAGCUGUGGUUACCUGGACAAUAUUGCCAACACCAAACUCCUUCCUCAAUUGAAACAUAUGAUCAGCCCACAAAUGCUUUGCUUUGUAGCUUUUGAGAGCCUGAAAUUGUUAUCACAACCAACAGUGAAAAUUGGGUGAAAAAAUUGAUAAUAUUAGCAUAAUUCCAUAUGUUUAUAUAGGAUAAACCGAUCAAAGAAUGAAAAAAGAUAGAAACAGAGCAGACCCAACCAUCACUUUCUUCUUCAAAGUCGCACCAUAACCACAGUGGUAGUCGUUCCACUGCCAGCCUAAUCCUUGGUCAACCCAAUGUUCACCAUGAAGUAUUCAAAGUCAACCUAAAAAUAAAUAAAAAUGCAAUGCAGGUGGAAAUGAAAAUUCUAUAAAUUAAAUAAAAUAAAAAUGCAAUGCUUGAGCUUGAGCUUGCUUUAGCAUCAUCGUAAUAGUACAUUUUGAUAUAUCUUUACUUCUCUGUUCUUGUUUAUUCACAACAAGAUAUCAAUAGAAGGAGAUGGAAAUGAAAUUCUAUAAAAUAAAUCAAGUGAAUUACCAGUAGAACAUUUUAGCAAUCCUUUGGGUAAACUUUUCAUUUUCAUAGUCUUGCUCUCCUGCCUGCAUCAUUAAAACCAAAUUAGCUUGUACCAGGCAAUUGCUAGUGUGGUUCUGACAUUUCCUCGAAUCCCUGGUGAACAUAAUUAAACUCGUAUGAAAUAAAACAAAGUGGGCUAAUGUAGUAAAAACAAUUCCACAAUUACUUUAAAGAAUUAAUGUCACAUAAAUUAUAUAUAAAAAAAAACGAUUAUCAUUAUAUAAGAUAAAAUUGAUAAUUUAGUUUUCAACAUUACUCCAAACGUAUCACAGAGAUUUUGUCUCUCAGCAAGUUACACAUAACAAAUUUUCGUACAUUAAAAAAUAAAUUACAUUGCACGAAAUUUUACAAAAGAGCACAUAUUUUGUUAUUUUUUAUUAUUUAAUCCUUAGAAAACAAGUUUAACAGAUUUGAUAACUAGGAAGUUUUACGUAUUUAUACCAUGAUUGAUUCUAUAUAGAAUUUUAAUUCAAAAUAUAAUUAUUUUAAUCAAUUUCAUUGCAAGCAACAACGAAGUAAAUCAGAGGAGGAGGAGAAAUUACCGGCGAGUGAUAAAUUACGGCUACCACUUGAUGUGGGGAAUGUGAGAUAUCUUAUACCAGUCUUCUCCUUCCCCCACUCUAUAACGGUUUUCCAGAAGAGGACAUUUCCAAAUUGUCAAAUCCUGCAGUGCCGUCGUUCGAAGGAGGUAAUCCGGCAGCACCUUUAAUUUGGGGCAAUGCUCAAUUUCCAAGGAAGAAAGACGUGGUAUGUCUGUUGUCCUGUGAUCUUCUAGAAUGGGCAGUUCUUCUAGAAGAUCACAAGAAAAAAUACUCAAUUUCUGCAGUGCCGUCGUUUGAAAAAGGUAAUCCGGCAGCGCCUUUAAUUUGGUGCAAUACCAAAUCGUCAAGGAAGAAAGACGUGGCAUGAUGGAGAUGUUUUCCUUCCUCGUAAUCCUGUAAUUCCACUCUUCCAAUUCUUCCAAGCCCCAAAUUUCGAGAGAUUUCAAUUUGGGGAAGGCAAUAACUGAUGAUGACGAUGAAGAUGAAGAUGGGUCGUCCUCACUGCUUUCUUCUAUUCCCAAAAACUCAUUACCCACUCUUUUUACACUUUUCAAGUUGCGUAGUUCGAGUUUUUCCAGAGGCAAUUUUCCCAAAGGAGGCAAAUGCUCACAAUUAACGCAGGAGAGAAGUUUUAAAUUCCUUAGAUUGGUUAGUGAAGUCAACCAUUUGGGAAAAAUGUUGCCUCCGUAGGAUUCAAUCCAUAAUUCCUCUACAUUCAAAGGCGGUUGUAAGGCUUCAAGAAGUUGUUUAUCUUUCUCAAUAUUCAUCCUCCUCCCUUCUUCGCCUUCCCCAUCUACGACUCCACCAAACACAAGACGCAAACGAAGGAGGUUUUUCUUAUUGUAAAGUUGUAACCUCUCAGCCUCAUCUAAAUGUGACACAUUACCCAGCCCUUCUAUUCCACAUUCUCGAAGGAGUUGAAGAUUUUUCAGAGAUUCAAGCCUACACGUAUUGCUACCAUCAACACCUCCACCCACCACAAACUUGUCUAAUGUUCGAAGACUGGUUAAUUUGGAAAUCCCUAUUGGCAUGUAUUUCAACGAAUCAGUUUCACCAUUCAGUAAACUCCUCAUGUUCUUUAACUUCCCAAUCCCCGCUGGCAAUUCCCUAAGAUUUUCGCAACCCCUAAUAUCUAGCUUUUGUAAAUUAUAUAAUUCACACAAAGUCUCAGGCAGUCUCUCUAUACAUAAUUUAGACAAAUUAAGAUAUUUUAAAUGUAUCGAUUUUCCAACAUUUUCUGGAAUUUCUCUAAUCAAAUUUGAGUAGGACGAUUGGCUUAUAACUAAUGCCCUUAAACACGCCAAUUUACUAAAUAACUCCAGAAGGACGCUACUAUUAAGAGACGGAUUGGAAGGACUUUCAUCAUUAAUUAGGAUGGUACGCAAUCUAUUAAGUCCGUGAAUGGAUAUAGGAAAUGAAGCGCCUCCUUCAAACUUUAACCCUAAGUGACGGACUUUGUCGCCAAAAGAGUUUAUGACUGAUUCUUUGGUACCAUUAAUUUCUAGCCACAAACAUUCUUUUCUACUUAUAAAUUGGGCAAAAUCAUGUACUAUGUCAUGCAUCUUGCAACUCAGAAUAUCAUCAUCGUCAUAAUCUUUUUCAAACUCUUGAAAGAAAGAGCGUGUUGCUAAGAUGUUGAAAUACUCUUCUCCAAUCAUCUCCAUUUCUUCGUCUUCUUCUGCGUUAAAGUAACCUUGAGCCAUCCACAAACUAAUCAAUUCUUCUUUAUUCAUACUGUAGUCUUUUGGAAAGACAGCACAAUAUGAGAAACACCGUUUUACCAUCGAAUUGGAGGGCAAAUCGUUAUAACUCAACAACAAAGGAGCCAAAAGACCUUGCCCAAUCUCUUCAAAUUUCCACAUUUCACUAUCUAACAUUCUUUGCCACUCUUUUACUGUAAUUUUAGAGCGCAAGAGAUUCCCUAUUACCUUUGCAGCAAGAGGCAGGCCUUUGCACUUGCGUGCAAUUUUUCGCCCGAUUGGUUCUAAUCUUUCACAAUCCUCGAAACAGCGACCGAAAAAUGCUAACUGCUUGAAAAACAACCAGCAUUCCUCUUCAGCCAGUUGUUCAAUGGAGAUAGUAUCUGACUCUGUUGUUCCCAUCAUACGUGCAAUUGACUCAUUACGUGUGGUAACCAAAAUUUUACUUCCGUGGAGACCAUUCUUUAGACAAAAGAAGAAUGGAUCCCAUUUAUUGGAAUCCCCAUCCCAUACAUCAUCUAAGACAAGAAAAAUUUUUUUUCCUCCAAUUGAUCUAUGGAUAUGGCUCAUAAGAGAUUGGAAUUCGCUUAAACUAGAAGCUUCUUUUGAUUCGCCUAGACCUUCAAUGAUUGCUUUGGCGACCCUAAUCUCCUCAAAAGUGUCUGAUACACACACCCAUAUAACUUUGUCAAAAUUUCUUUUCACCUCAUCAUUAUUAUAGGCUAGUUGUGCAAGAGUGGUUUUACCUAUACCCGCGAACCCAACCAGUGAGAUGAUAUGAGGGUGUUGUUCACUACUUUCACACAACAACUUGGUUAAGAGCUUAUUUUUCUCAUCAUCUCUACCAAAAACCUUCCUCUCAUCAAUCAAGGAGGUGGUUCGCACUCGCUCUGGUUUCUUAACAUUGUUACUCACA